rnacentral:tRNA from 2 species
GCCUUGGAAGCUAAGUUGAGCAUCGAGCUUUUGACUCGAGGAUACAGUAUUACUGUUCAAGGUA